GACGAACGCUGGCGGCGUGCUUAACACAUGCAAGUCGAACGGUAAGGCCCUUCGGGGUACACGAGUGGCGAACGGGUGAGUAACACGUGGGUGAUCUGCCCUGCACUUCGGGAUAAGCCUGGGAAACUGGGUCUAAUACCGGAUAGGACCACUGCCUGCAUGGGUGGUGGUGGAAAGCUUUUGCGGUGUGGGAUGGGCCCGCGGCCUAUCAGCUUGUUGGCGGGGUGAUGGCCUACCAAGGCGACGACGGGUAGCCGGCCUGAGAGGGUGACCAGCCACACUGGGACUGAGAUACGGCCCAGACUCCUACGGGAGGCAGCAGUGGGGAAUAUUGCACAAUGGGCGCAAGCCUGAUGCAGCGACGCCGCGUGCAGGAAGACGCUUUUCGGAGUGUAAACUGCUUUUAAUAGGGAAGAUUAUGACGGUACCUAUAGAAUAAGGACCGGCUAACUACGUGCCAGCCGCCGCCGUAA
rnacentral:rRNA from 1 species